AAUCUGAAACACAGUUUCGCUGGUUUGUUAAUUUGUUGAUUUCUGCCUAUCUCAUAGCGGGCACUUUGGAGUCCUUUCUGUCAGUGUGAAAAAAAGGAGUGCAGAGGGCGGUCGAACUUCUGGAAGGUUUCUUACAGUUACACCUGAGAUAACAAGCCCUAAAGAGACGCAUACCAAAUGUGGGCGUGGCUUUUGCUGAUAACUACCAGGAUAAGCAAACCCCCAAAGCAGAUUUCCAAAAAUCGGACUUGCAGCUUAGGCCUAUUUUACCAGUGGGAAGGGACCUCAUGAAGGGGGUAAGGUUAACCACAGUCGUCAUCAAUUAUUUUUGCUGCCCAUUUUAUGUAUUUCCUUAUGCCAUCCCCUAAUAAUCGCCUCACGUGACUUCAACAUUCUCCUGUAACUGACAAGAAAAGAAGUAAGACGUUCACUCUUUUGCCGGGAUCACAUCACUAGCAAGUGGCAAAGGUGGACUUUAUCUCCCGUUCUUCCUCCAGGACCCAUGCCCUUGACUGCCAAUGUUGAUGAAAAUUAGCUUGUCUGGGCAAGAAAGGUAUCGGGCAGUUAAUUAGGCCUUGUGUCUUUCACCCACUGGGCCAUUUGCAGCGCCAUUCUUGGUAUUAAACCUAGGUUAAACCAAGACAGGCAAAUCCCUAAGCUUCAAACAUUCCCUCCACCCUGUUUCAAGAACGGCAGAUACACAAUGAAUGCCGAACUCUGUCUUUAAUAUGGAUAGCACGCAAAUACAGAAAAAAACUCUGUUAUUACUUGGAAGAGUUGGUACAAUGUUUCAGAUAUCGUCCGCUCCAGCAUUUUGGCAAAUGAAAGAACAAAGAAGGAGAAGAAGAAGAAAGAAAGAAAGAGAGAGAGAGAGGAAGAGAGAAAGAAAGAAAGAAAGAAAGGGAAAGGAGGAAAGAAAAAGAAGGAAAGAAGGAAGAUCAAAAGAAAAGAAUAGGAAAAAAGGAGGUCAAUUUCCAUUUUAUAGAUAAAGAGUACUUUCCAUUUCA